rnacentral:rRNA from 1 species
CGUACGGGACAACAUCCGAAGGAGUGCUAAUACCGGAUGUGAUCAUCUUGCCGCAUGGCAGGAUGAAGAAAGAUGGCCUCUACAAGUAAGCUAUCGCUAAAGGAUGGGCCUGCGUCUGAUUAGCUAGUUGGUAGUGUAACGGACUACCAAGGCGAUGAUCAGUAGCCGGUCUGAGAGGAUGAACGGCCACAUUGGGACUGAGACACGGCCCAA